UACGAAGGGGGCUAGCGUUGCUCGGAAUCACUGGGCGUAAAGGGUGCGUAGGCGGGUCUUUAAGUCAGGGGUGAAAUCCUGGAGCUCAACUCCAAAACUGCCUUUGAUACUGAAGAUCUUGAGUUCGGGAGAGGUGAGUGGAACUGCGAGUGUAGAGGUGAAAUUCGUAGAUAUUCGCAAGAACACCAGUGGCGAAGGCGGCUCACUGGCCCGAUACUGACGCUGAGGCACGAAAGCGUGGGGAGCAAACAGGG
rnacentral:rRNA from 1 species